UACGAGGGGUGCAAGCGUUAUUCGGAAUAAUUGGGCGUAAAGGGUGCGUAGGUGGCAUUCUAAGUCAACUGUUAAAUCUCCCGGCCUAACUGGGAACAUGCAGUAGAUACUGGUAUGCUAGAGGGUGGAAGAGAGAAGUGGAAUUCUCGGAGUAGCGGUAAAAUGCGUAGAUCUCGAGAGGAACACCAAUGGCGAAGGCAGCUUCUUGGUCCAUACCUGACACUGAGGAACGAAAGCGUGGGGAGCAAACAGG
rnacentral:rRNA from 1 species